GAUGAAGAACGGAGCGAAAUGCGAUACGUAAUGUGAAUUGCAGAAUUCAGUGAAUCAUCGAAUCUUUGAACGCACAUUGCGCCCGCUAGUAUUCUGGCGGGCAUGCCUGUCCGAGCGUCAUUUCAACCCAUCAAGCUUAGCGCUUGUGUUGGAGCCCUGCGGCCGCCGCAGCCUCCUAAAAUCAGUGGCGGGCUCGCUAUCACGCUGAGUGCAGUAGUAUUCUUCUCACUCCUGUGGUGUAGCGGGUAACCAGCCGUAAACCCCCCCAUCUAUAAAGGUUGACCUCGGAUCAGGUAGGAAUACCCGCUGAACUUAAGCAUAUCAAUAAGCGGAGGA
rnacentral:misc_RNA from 1 species